rnacentral:rRNA from 1 species
AUGCGAGCUAGGAGGUGGCAUGGGGAUCUUACAUGUUCCUUUUGUACCGAUAUGGAAACAACAAAUCAUUUAUUCUUCACUUGCCCGCUCGCCCGCACUGUUUGGGGUGUGUUGGGAAUGACGGGUGGGGCAUCUUGCUGCCCUCGAUCGCUUUGGCAAAGCUGGGCGUGGUUGUAUAGGUUCUUCCCAGGAGGGGAACCAUUUUAUAUGAUGAUUAUCGCUGCUGUUUGCUGGGGGAUCUGGAACCUUCGUAAUAAAGUCACUUUUGAUAAACAUGUUGCUCGCACUCCACUUGAGGCGGUUUUCACUGCAUGUUCUUUUAUGCUAUAUUGGGCAGGUUUGCUUAAAGAGGAUGACAAUGUGCAGUUCCAGGCUGGUGUGAAGAGGUUGGCUCAUGCGGCUGCGGCACUCGCGAAUCGAUCCUUUCCUCGCGGCAGACUCCUCCUCGGCGACAAUGAUCGGCUAAGCUGA